UUGCGGGAAUAUGGGAGUCCUCAGUGAGAUACCACUCUUGUAAUGUUAGAUUUCUAACUUUGUAUCAUUAUCUGGUCAAAGGACAGUUUCAGGCGGGCAGUUUGACUGGGGCGGUCGCCUCCCAAAAGGUAACGGAGGCGCACAAAGGUUUCCUCUGAACGGGUAGAAAUCGUAUCUACGAGUGUAAAGGCAUAAGGAAGCUUGACUGUGAGACCUACAAGUCGAGCAGGGACGAAAGUCGGUCUUAGUGAUCCGACGGUGCUGAGUGGAAAGGCCGUCACUCAACGGAUAAAAGUUACUCUAGGGAUAACAGGCUGAA
rnacentral:rRNA from 1 species